AAAAAAAUCUGGGAUAAAAAAAUCCAAAUCUUCCUAACUCCACAUUCAGGGAAAUUAUUUGAGGAAGUGACCACAGAUGAAACUGUUUCCAGAUGUCUACAAAGGUUUUUGGGUUUUGUGGGGACUGAAGUACAGCAGGAAGCAGCAUAAGCAGACAGAAAGAAGCCUUAGUGUGAUUGAACGAACAUAGAGAAAGAAGAGCCAGGAACCACAGAGACAGCAAAGUAAUGGUCAGACACACAACCCUGGAGCCUGCCCAACUUGUGUACCUCUUAUUA
rnacentral:lncRNA from 1 species